AGUGAACGCUGGCGGUAGGCCUAACACAUGCAAGUCGAACGGCAGCACAGUAAGAGCUUGCUCUUACGGGUGGCGAGUGGCGGACGGGUGAGGAAUACAUCGGAAUCUACUUUUUCGUGGGGGAUAACGUAGGGAAACUUACGCUAAUACCGCAUACGACCUACGGGUGAAAGCAGGGGAUCUUCGGACCUUGCGCGAUUGAAUGAGCCGAUGUCGGAUUAGCUAGUUGGCGGGGUAAAGGCCCACCAAGGCGACGAUCCGUAGCUGGUCUGAGAGGAUGAUCAGCCACACUGGAACUGAGACACGGUCCAGACUCCUACGGGAGGCAGCAGUGGGGAAUAUUGGACAAUGGGCGCAAGCCUGAUCCAGCCAUACCGCGUGGGUGAAGAAGGCCUUCGGGUUGUAAAGCCCUUUUGUUGGGAAAGAAAAGCAGCAGGUUAAUACCCCGCCGUUCUGACGGUACCCAAGGAAUAAGCACCGGCUAACUUCGUG
rnacentral:rRNA from 1 species